CCUACGGGAGGCAGCAGUGGGGGAUAUUGCACAAUGGGGGAAACCCUGAUGCAGCGACGCCGCGUGUGGGAAGACGGUCCUCUGGAUUGUAAACCACUGUCCCCAGGGACGAAGAUGACGGUACCUGGGGAGGAAGCUCCGGCUAACUACGUGCCAGCAGCCGCGGUAAUACGUAGGGAGCGAGCGUUGUCCGGAAUUACUGGGUGAAAAGGGAGCGUAGGCGGGACUGCAAGUUGGGUGUCAAAUCUACCGGCUCAACCGGUAGCCGCACUCAAAACUGCAGUUCUUGAGUGAAGUAGAGGCAGGCGGAAUUCCUAGUGUAGCGGUGAAAUGCGUAGAUAUUAGGAGGAACACCAGUGGCGAAGGCGGCCUGCUGGGCUUUGACUGACGCUGAGGCUCGAAAGUGUGGGGAGCAAACAGGAUUAGAUACCCCAGUAGUC
rnacentral:rRNA from 1 species